GGCUUUAGCGCGGUGGUCCCACCUGACCCCAUGCCGAACUCAGAAGUGAAACGCCGUAGCGCCGAUGGUAGUGUGGGGUCUCCCCAUGUGAGAGUAGGAAACUGCCAGGC
rnacentral:rRNA from 1 species